GAUGAACGCUGGCGGCGUGCUUAACACAUGCAAGUCGAACGAAGCACUUUAUUUGAUUUCCUUCGGGACUGAUUAUUUUGUGACUGAGUGGCGGACGGGUGAGUAACGCGUGGGUAACCUGCCUUGUACAGGGGGAUAACAGUUGGAAACGGCUGCUAAUACCGCAUAAGCGCUCAGCAUCGCAUGAUGCAGUGUGAAAAACUCCGGUGGUAUAAGAUGGACCCGCGUUGGAUUAGCUAGUUGGUGAGGUAACGGCCCACCAAGGCGACGAUCCAUAGCCGACCUGAGAGGGUGACCGGCCACAUUGGGACUGAGACACGGCCCAAACUCCUACGGGAGGCAGCAGUGGGGAAUAUUGCACAAUGGGCGAAAGCCUGAUGCAGCGACGCCGCGUGAGCGAAGAAGUAUUUCGGUAUGUAAAGCUCUAUCAGCAGGGAAGAUAAUGACGGUACCUGACGAAGAAGCACCGGCUAAAUACGUG
rnacentral:rRNA from 1 species